GUUUUAUUUUAUUCAAUUUCCUCCAAACACUUUGUAUAUCAGGCAACCACAAUUUUGUAUUUUCGUUUCCUUUUGAUCGAGGGACUUGAAAAAGUCCUUUCAACCAAAAAAAAAACUCUCUCUUUUUGGGUGUCUAUGUUGUUUGCAAGCCAAAGAAAAACCUCUGGCUUGAGUUAUUAACCAUUUUUUUCAAUGAUGAUCCUUCCGCAGGUUCACCUACGGAAA
rnacentral:misc_RNA from 1 species